UACGUAGGGCGCAAGCGUUGUCCGGAAUUAUUGGGCGUAAAGAGCUCGUAGGCGGCCUGUUGCGUCCGCUGUGAAAUCCCGGGGCUCAACCCCGGGCGUGCAGUGGAUACGGGCUGGCUGGAGGCAGGCAGGGGAGAACGGAAUUCCUGGUGUAGCGGUGAAAUGCGCAGAUAUCAGGAGGAACACCGGUGGCGAAGGCGGCUACCUGGACCAGCACUGACACUGAGGCACGAAAGCGUGGGGAGCGAACAGG
rnacentral:rRNA from 1 species